GGAAAUUUGGAAACUUCCUGCACAGGUAGAAAAUGAGUGGGAACUAGCCCAACAAAAUAGUUGGCUGACUACCAACAAAGUAGCCAGCCCUGGAAUUCUGGACAUGGACAAGCCAACCCUGGGAAAGGAAUUGUUUUAGUCAGCUUUUUUGCUGCUCUGACUAAAAGAUCCGACAAGAACAAUUUUAGAGGAGGAAAAGUUUAUUUGGGGGCUCACAGUUUCAGGGGUCUAAGUCCAUAGACAGCCAGCUCCAUUCCUCAAGGAUGGAGGUGAGGCAGAAUAUCACGGUAGAAGCAUGGUGGAGGGAAGUAGCUCACAUGAUGAUCAGGAAGCAGAAGGAGAGACUCCACUCACCAUAUAAAAAAUAUAUGCUCCAGCUGGGUGUGGAGGCACACGCCUGUAAUCCUAGCAGCUCUGGAGGCUGAGACUGGAGGAUCACAAGUUCAAAGCCAGCCUCAGUAAAAAUAAGGUCCUAAAGCAACUCAGCGAGACCCUGUCUCUAAAUAAAAUACAAAAUAAGUCUGGCGAUGUGGCUCAGUGGUUGAGUGCCCCUGAGUUCAAUCCUUAGUACCAAAAAACAAACAAACAAACAAAUAUAUAUAUACACAUACAUGCACAUACACACACACACACACACUCUCCAAAGGCACGCCCUCAGUGCCCACCUCCUCCAGCCAUACCCUGCCUGCCUUCAGUUACCACUCAGUUAAUCCCCAACAGGGUUAAGACUUUUAUAACCUAGUCAUAUCAACUCUGAAUGUUCUUGCAUUGUCUUCCAUAUGAGCUUUUGGGAACACCUAAUAUCUAAAUCAUAACAGGAACCCAAGCUCUUAAUGUUCUCUAGUUUAUCAUUAAAGAGUUGAGAAAUGAACAGAGAAGCAAAUGGCACCCAGAUAAGCUUGUUUCCUAGGUUGAAAAUUUAGUUUCCUUGGAAAAAAGAUAAAACCAAAUUCUGAGCUAUAAUUUUCCUCUUAAUGGGCUGUAGCUGUAGCUCAGUGGUAGAGCGCUUGCGUCACAAGUGUGAGGCACUGGGUUUUAUCCUCAGCACCACAUAAAAAUCAUUAAAGAUAUUGAUACAUCUACAAUUAAAAAUUAUUUUUAAAAAAAUAUUUCUUCCUUUCUCUUUCUUUCCUCCUUUAUUCUUCCCUCCCUCUUCCUCCUCCCUUCCUCCCUCUUUCUUUCUUCUUCCCUCCCUCUUUCCCCCUCCCUUUCUUUCUUCUUUUUUUCAGAAUACUGGGGAUUAAACCUGGAACAUCAUGUAUUCUAGGCAGGCUCUCUACCACUGAUCUAUGCCCCUAGCCCCUUCUUUUAAAUUUCUGUCUGAAUUUUAUUGUAUUAAUUGGUCAAUUGAUUGAUCCUAGUGCUGGAGAUCGAACCCAGGACUUGGCACAUGCUAGGCCAAGUGCUCUACCCCUGAGCUACAUCCCUAGCCCUCUAUCUGAAUUUUAGCUAAAAUUAACUAUCACUUGACCAGGUCAGUGGAAAAAGUGAGCAUGGAUAUGGUGGGGCAUGCCUCAGCUGAUUAGGAGGUGGGAGGAUCAAAGCUUUUCAAGGGCAGCCUGGGCCAUAUAGCAAGAGCCUGUCUGGAAAUAAAAAGGACUGAGCAUGUAGCUCAGCUGGGGAUAAUUUCCUAGCAUGUGUGAGGCACUGGGUUUGAUUCCCAGUACUGCAAGCACAAAAACAAAACAAAGCAAAGUUUAAGAAAAAGUGAGCAUGGAAAACUCCAAAUUAAAACUAUAGUCAACCCUAGAUUAUUGAUGGGAUGAAUUUCUUAUUGUUAAGAUAAGUUCUCCUCCCUAGAGGAGAAGAAUUUUAGGAAUUUUGUUGGAAUUUAGGGGGUAUUCUUCUUCUCCUACCCAGAAUCUAGAUCAACUGGGAGAGAUUUAAGAGUUAGACAUUGAGAUGAAAAUGGCAGCUUUAACUGGGGGGACUGUUGAGAAUGCAACUGAGGCCUGUGGCCACAGAGGGCUUCCUAAUAACCCCAGGAUCCAGCAGAUUGACUUAUCCAGCCACUAGCAGUAUGGACUACCCCAGCCUCAUUCUUAAAAGAUAAAGCCUUUGCUAAUGGUCUCUGAGCCUUGUAUGCCCAGCUCCUCAUUAAUCAAAGAAGCCAUUUCUCCCACUUCUAAGUCAGGGGAUGGAGAAAGGCCAGUAGAAUUAGUCUAAGAAGUAUCCUUUCACCCCAAAGACAGUAUCUAGAAGAGAAAGGUGGCUUUUAGUAUUUCCUGUUGAUAGGUGGAGAUGGGAGAAAAGGAGAAGCCAUACUUGGGUCAGAGCUCCUGAGGAGGGGGUAGCUGCUCUGGCUAACAAGGAAUGGUCUAGAAUCUGGCUAAUGAGGAAUGGUCUAGAUUCUGCCUCCCUCCUUUUCACAGAUUUUGUCCAUAUGAACUUGUCUAGAAGCUGGAAAAAUGAGUAAGACCCGUAAGUCUAUCCACAUUGACCAUGGUUCCACUAUACUCUGGUUUAUUUGAUCCUGGUGAAUGUAAAAUUGACCAUAUUCUGUCACCUUCAAUAGCUUAUUUUUAAGCAUCCAGUGAAGACCUCUUCCACCUUGUUUCCAUUUUUCUGGUUUCAGAAUAUAGGUUUCAAUUGUAGUUAGUCUCAUUUCAUUCUUUCAGAUCUUGGAGCAAGAACUGAGUAUGAGGAAAAUUCAAACCAGGGCAUUUCAGGGAAGGUGGAACUACCGAGGGUAUCAUUAGAAAGCUCCCAAAUGGAUGUUUUCCAAUACUGUAAUUGCUGGAAAGACUGGGAAAACAGAUAUGGGGCAGAACAGCAAUGGGGAAUAGCCCUGCUGCAAGUUGGACUAGAGUCAGUCUCUCCUCCAGAAAGAGAUGUAGAUAAAGUCAUAGGUCCUCAGGGUACCUAUGCAGAAGAAAAAUCCAGUAUGUGUUUUGACUAUGGAAAAAACUUCAACCAUAUCUAGCCAUCCAUAGGUCAGCCACACAGGAGAAAAGAAACCUUAUGAAUAUAGCCAUUGUGGGAAAAGCUUUGCCAAAGCUCACAUCUAAUCUGCCAUCAGAGAAUCUACACUGGGGAGAAGCCUUCCCAGGGCCCUGAAUAUGAGAAAGGCUUCUGUGAUCAUUCUAACCUCACAGGACACCAGAGAAUCCACACAGGAGAAAAGCCCUAUAAAUGUGCAGAGAGCUGGAAGUGUUAACCAGAGCUCAAACAUUAUUAUGCACCAGAGAAUCCACAGAGGAGAGAAACCCCAUAAAUGUAAUGGGUAUGGAAGAAGAUUCCCCAAUAGCUUGCACUUUGAUUGGGGAAAGUUCACUAAGGGUUCUGUCCUCACCAGCCACCAGAGGAUCCAUAGGAGAAAUCCUACAAGUAUCUCGAGUGUGGGAGAAGUUUCAGUGACUGCUCAAGCCUCAUUACCCACUGGUGAAUUCACACUGGAGAGACCCUAUAAAUGUGGGGAAUGUAGGAAAAGCUUCAAUCAGAGCUCAAGUCUCAUUAUACACAAGGAGAAAAGCCCGAUGAAUGUAACAAAUGUGAGAGGCAAUUGGACAGCAAAUUUUAGCCACAUUGGAGAACCUAUGUGGGAGAGAGACUCUGAUGUGUCCGGUAUAUUGGGAAAAUGUCUUUAAAGCACCAAGUCUGGCAAUUCUAAGGAGUUUGUCCCAUAAAAGAGUCUUUUUUGCCUUUAAUUCUAUAACCUGUCACCAACCUGAGAUAAGAAUUUAAGUCACAGUCCAAAAGACUUUGUUUUGUUUCUCUCUCUAAAUGCUUGGCUUAUGGAAAUAUUCCUCAGGGUUUCCUUAUCUAUGCUGUUGCAAUGGAAGCCAAUUUCCAGAGAAUUCAGAAACUAAUUCUGAAUUUGACUAUGUCCCCAUUUCAGUGUGUCUUCAUUGUGAUUCUGUGCCUUAAUUUUCUCAUCCCUGAGAUCCUCCCUCACAGAUAGACAGGGCACUGUCCUGCCCUGAUCAUGUUAAUGGAGAUGGGUCAGCUAUGGAGCCAGCAGUGUUUGGGCACUAGACAAAAGUUUAUAAUAAAAUUUAUAAUGUACCAUUGUUCUCCCUGUGGGAGGAUUGGGGCUCAGGAUGCGUACAUUUCCCCACCCUCCUUAGGAUUUGCAGGAAUUUAUAGAAAAUUUCUAGAUUCAUAGAGGAAAGUGCUCUAUUACAUGGGGGAGGGAAAAGGAAGAAAGAACAAUGUUAGGUUUGGCUUUCUAAACUAUAACUUCCCUCUCCCAAAAUAUUAGAUUGAACCAUAUGAGAUUGCCAUUGCUGAUCUACAAACUAGCAAUUUUAUGAUUCGAUCUAAGUAGAAUGUCUGCAAUUGUGUUCCCAAUGGCCAGCAGCUCAUACUGAAUCCUAAAAAGGUGAAGCUGGGUCUAGAAGAUAUGAAGCAGGAUAAAUAGGUGGGUAAAGACCUUUCUCUUUGUAGAUAUGCCCAGAGCAAAAACUAAGAACCAUGGUAUUAAAAAGUCCCUAAAGGAUUUACUUCUAUGUCACAUGCCUUUGACAAGCCCACUAAUUCCUGUCUGUGCUUCAGGCUUCUCAGAGCCAGGGUAUCCUGAUCCUUCGGGCAACAGAUUCCCACAGAUUUCAGUCUCUGCACAAGAGCACAGCAGAGUCCCUGGAUAGACUCUGACGCACAGAACAAAUGGGGCUUAGAAAAAAAAUGGAACACAGUUUCUUCCUCUUAAAAUAGUGCCCAUUGUGUUUGAUUUUUAAAUAUUUUCCCACAACCUCCCAGAAUCUCAUUAUAAAACAAAGCACAAUCUACACAUAUUACAAUUGUACUUAAUUAGAUUAAUAAUUAUUAUAAUAAGGCUAACUCAGUAAUAAGGCUUCUUUUUAACAUAAAAACACUUAGCCAAAUAAAUGUCUGUCAAAAUUGGUUAUUUAAUGGGCUGUGGACUUCAUGUUAUUGUGGUUAUUCAAGAAGUUCUUUUGAGUUUUUCUGUAGGAUUUGACUACAUGCCUUCCCAGCAUGUAGGGUAGUUAAUGUCUUAUACACUAGAAAAGUUUAAUAAAUGCUGAUGGAACAAACACCUUUUUUAUCCAGCCUAAUCAUCUGUCUUAUCCAUGAGACUGGGCUCUACUCAGUUUUUGCUUUCCAAAAAUAGAAUCUCUUCAAAGGAUGUCAAUUCACUGCCAUUAAGGAGACUUUUCAGGGUCUGUUGUUGGGAGACAAUUUUCAAAGAGGUAUUCCAGAAAUUGGAAUUUAGAAUAUUUGUCAAGACCAGGAAAUAAAAUUGAUAUGGAUCACUUGAUAUUAUUUUACUCUUUCAAUGAGAAAUUCUUAGGUAGAAAUUCAUCCUACUAAUACCUGAGGUAGCUCUGCAUUAUAAAAUGACUUUGGAGACCAGGUGUGGUGGUGCAUGCCUGUAAUCCCAAUGACUUGGGAGGCUGAGGCAGGAGGAUCAAAAAUUUGAGGCCAGCCUCAGUAAUUUAGUGAGACCGUGUUACAACAAAAAAUAAAUAAAUAAAGGUGCUGGGGAUGGAGCUCAGCGGUAAAGUGCCCCUGGCUUCAAUCCCCAAUCCCACCCCCUAAAAGACUUUGGGAACAACCAGAUUCUCUUUUGAAAAUUUUUGACAUCAUUUUUCUUUUGGAUGGAAUAAGAAGAUUCAAAUAUAUAGAAAUAUAUAGUCGA
rnacentral:lncRNA from 1 species